ACAAGCUUUCUAUGGGUGAAUUGAAGAAUUCAUUCAAGUUCUGGUCACAAUGAGCGGAGGUAUCGAUAAACUGGGGAAGAUCACACCCUCCAGGAAGUCAAGAUGUGCUGAGCGAUCACAUUUUCCGGCGACUAUCAAGCAGAAUACUCCAGGAUCCUUGACGGAUCGGGUAGUUAUUGACAAGCCGGGACCAACCGUAGCAAUAACAGUAAAGACAAAGAGCCACAAAACUACUCCCAAACAGCCAAAAACCCCAUCAGCAAAUCCCGAGUCUGAAAAUCAAGUUGAAUGGAAAAAACAUUCGUCAGUAUUAACUGAGAAUAAGAGCAACUGGCCUGGGAGAUUUCGAGAACAAACGAGAGCUUCGUUGAAGCAAACUCUUCAUCAAAUUCAUGGAGGUACGAGAGGUUCCAAGAGUGCACGGCCAUUGACAGAAGAUUACAGGGAACCUAGACGAGCUAGACAUGAUGCUCUAUUAGGAAACCCCUCCACCACGUCCGUUGGGACUAGAGACAGUGCAGAAUCUGUCAUUGUUAUUGAUAAAGGGGUGCAAUGUGGAGGAUUGUUUGACUCUUCUAAUAAUCAUUUUAAUUUAUUGACUCCAAUUCCGACAAUUGCUUUCUUGAUGAAGGAGCUCGAAAGCUUAGUCAAGGACGAGAAGUCCAGUGUAAUUUUGUACCAGAUGGAACAGGCAUUGUUGAGAAUACCUAGUGAUACUGGGAAAUCUAGUCCUGACGAUCUAGAGAUGAUUCUAAAAUAUAGCCAACUAGAAGCCAGUGUGACUCAACUAGCAGCUGCAGGUAAAGAAAUGCAGACGACAUUGGAAACCUCUCGAAAGGAAAAAGCCAUUCUUCAACAACAACUCGAGGAGAAGUCUCUCCACCUCGAGUCAUCCCUUCGUCGAGAGGCCGAGCUCGAAACUGUCCUGAACGACCUGCGUCAGAAACUCUCAGACUCUUCAAAAUUAGAUCUCACAAAUAAAAAACUCCUCAGCGAUCUUAAAGAGAAAAAUGAAAAGAUUCAAGUCCUCCAGAAUAUCACAACCGAAUUAAAAACUGAACUCAACGAACAAACAGAACUCGCCCACCAGCGGUUCCUUGACUCUCAGUUCCUCAAAAUGGAGAAGGAAAAAUUGUCUGUAAUGUCUUCCUUUAAGGAUUCCGAGCUGAUUGAACAUCGGAAGGCCAUAAAGAACCUCCACCAUCUGAUCGGAGAUGAAUUGAUCAACAUCAAGAAGGCUUCCAGACCUGACAAUUUGUCUGUCAACCCAGAUGGGUAUCUAUCGCAGAUGGUGAUCGGUGGUAGGGCUUCAUCGUCACCAGUUCGUUCCUCGAGUAAUUCCAUCCCCGUAACGAGAAAUACUGGGCAUGAUGUGGUCGACGUCUCAGAGCCCUCUAUCUCCACAAUAGAUGUGACUAAUCCGCCCACAAUGAUCAAUAAAACUUUAUCAUCACUGUCGGAGAAUUUCAUCAAUGAUUCAGAGAACCAAACAGAAAAAUUUAAGGAAAAAACACAUUUAGAAUUCACUUCCAUUGGAGGAGAUGAUGCGUCACACAUUGGUUUAAUUCUAAAACCUAGUGAAGAUGAGUUCAUUUAUGUGGUGCCUGAGGGUAAUCGUGAUGGUGACCAAGUUGAACAGGGAAUGAGUGAGAUGAAGAGGUCGAGGGGGAGGCUGUCCCUGGAUGGGAGGCUGGAGGGGAGCAAAGGGAUGAAGGAAAUCGAAAUGAUGUAUCAAAAUACGAGAAUCAACAGUAAGGUGGAGGUGAGGGUGCCCAGCCCCCCGAGAAAUUAUCCCCAUCCUGACUGGAGUGAUAGCUCGCUGCCGACGAUGACUAUCUCGGAGUCUAAUUUGAUAUAAUUGGGUGGUAAGAGUCUAGCGAUUUUCGAGGAUGUUAUACUAAUUUAUCUUAUUUAUGAGGUUAUCAACGCCAAAUGAGACAAUAAAUAAUUCAGUGGCGAAGUGGAAAAUCGAGGUAAGUUCACUUAUCACUGAGCUCUAUCCAUUAGAACCAAUGAAGUGAAUAAAUAAAUCAUCAGUUUGUCUUAUCAUAAUCUAUCUCCACAUAUUUAAUAAAAAAGAAUUCAUAUAUUUUCUACAAUGUUACGGCACAUUUGUCCAGUCUAUUAGUUACAUAACUUUUUAAAUUAAAUAAAUAAAUAACUUCAAUAAUGUUGGUUACGUCGAUCGUAAUAGGACGAUGAGUAUUUGCUAAAACGAUCACUUCCCGCAUCGUCCGGAUAUUUUUCUUCGGCUUUGUAAUGGAUUUCCGGGGCUGAGCCUACCUGUCCUUGCCAGUACCUCGUCCAGUAAAAAUCUUCUGGGUUAACUUCGUGUGGGUGUUUGGCAUUUCUGAAUACAUGGACGCAAUAUAUCAAGCUUCCCAUUAACGUGGCAAAGCCGAAUAUUAAGAAAAUUAUUCCGAGAAUCCUGAAACAAUGAAAGGCUUCGUUAUUCCGCAAUCGCAUCGCUUUUCUGUCUCUCGAGUUGAAAAGGGAAAUUGUGGAAUUUCCUGAGAAAUUCUACGUUGAUAAAAAUAUCUGUUAGUUAUUUUUACAUUGAAAAUUGACACUAGUAAUUACCAGACAAUGAGGGGAUGGAAGAUUUGUAUGACUAUGACAAAACCAAGUGUGACAAGAAUAAUUCCCAGAUUGAUGAGGAGCAAUAGACAACACAUUCCUUUCGUAUUUGGACAAAAUGGAUUUGGUGUGGACAUGGUUUCAACGACAAGCCCACCGUGUCUCGAGGUUUUUGUUUUUAUGGUGGAUCCAUUGGAGGCUCCAGAUCUUGCUGAGCCAUAGCUAUAAUUACUAGGAGCUCUAUAUCCAUAUCUGGAACUUGCCACGGGACUGUGGUGGCCUGAGGCUCUACUGGAUAUUUAAAAGUUGAUAUCAAUUCAUCGAGAAUAGUAAGAUUUUCAUUUACUUGUGCAAUUAUCUUCACAAUAAUUAAUCACACACCUGAAGUCCGGGGUAGUCCGAUAAGCUUCACUUGUGAUAUAAAUUUCGGAAUCCUGUCCAUGUCGGUGGAUUCCUGGAGGUGAAUCGUUCAGGUCUCGUUCGUGUCGUCUCUUUUCUUUUCUGCCAAUCUGCAAAAGAGUAAAUUAAAAUUGAAUAUAUUUCUGAUGACAAGUUACUUCGUUGGAAGAAUUAUUUUUAUUGCCUUUGGGAAGGGGAAUGGGAGUUGUUCUUUAAAAAUUUGUUGUCUAAAAAUAAAAAUGACAAACUGAUGAUUACCAUAGCAUUUGGCUUAUGGGCUGUGGCGUACUCCGAGGAUGUACGUACGGAAAUGGUCCGAUGGCUUUCCUCGCCGUCCGUAGAAUAGGCCCGAUGUGGAUCCCUCCCAUUGUGCAUUUGAUAUUCGUUGUUGUGACGCAUUGUUACCUGUCUGAUGUCUGUAACUUCAUUGCGUACAUUCGUUUUUAUUUACAACACAUAUUGGUUGGAGUGUAGGCACAAGGUUAAGGUACGCCCGCGUGCAACCUCGUCCUCAAUUAUGUAAUGGAGGAUUAACCGAGAAGAUUGAAUUCAACAUUCUAAGGAUUUUUGGUUAUUAUAUUUCGAGUACAUCGCAGGAACUAAUCAGUUAUCUAUGCAAAUUAAUUAAUUAGGUGACUAAUUGAUUUUUAGAAAAUCAUUGAUAGUUCGGUUUUUUUCUGAAUCAACUGGAGAAAUUAAAUUUUCUCGAUCCAUUUUAAUUCGUUGAGUCUGAUUGCUUUAUGAACAAUUUGUGCAAUUUUCUCACGAGGAAUGCAUUGCAUCCUUUGUUUGAUAAAACCACACGUUCGAAGAACAAUAUCUUCUUUACCAAUCUUGGUGUGUCUGAGUUACUUUCGCUUCUGACAGCAAGUUGAAUCAUCCUCAGCCGUCACACUCACGCUUUUCGCGGUGGGUAGAGAAAGGUGGCCAUGAGACAACUAUACCGCUUCGCUGGAUUUUACUCGACACAACUUGUGCCAUAAAACUGUGGACGGUGGAAUGGCAGUGGAGAUCAAUUCGUAGUUAUAGCUGAGGACUUGUUUUUGUGG